rnacentral:rRNA from 1 species
UACGGGGGGGGCAAGCGUUGUUCGGAAUUACUGGGCGUAAAGGGCUCGUAGGUGGCCAACUAAGUCAGACGUGAAAUCCCUCGGCUUAACCGGGGAACUGCGUCUGAUACUGGAUGGCUUGAGGUUGGGAGAGGGAUGCGGAAUUCCGGGUGUAGCGGUGAAAUGCGUAGAUAUCUGGAGGAACACCGGUGGCGAAGGCGGCAUCCUGGACCAAUUCUGACGCUGAGGAGCGAAAGCCAGGGGAGCAAACGGG